ACUCCUACGGGAGGCAGCAGUGGGGAAUUUUCCGCAAUGGGCGCAAGCCUGACGGAGCAAGACCGCGUGAGGGAGGAAGGCUCUUGGGUUGUAAACCUCUUUUAUCAGGGAAGAAGAUCUGACGGUACCUGAUGAAUCAGCAUCGGCUAACUCCGUGCCAGCAGCCGCGGUAAUACGGAGGAUGCAAGCGUUAUCCGGAUUUAUUGGGCGUAAAGCGUCCGCAGGUGGUUUUUCAAGUCUGCUGUUAAAGCGCAGAGCUUAACUCUGUAACGGCGGUGGAAACUGAGAGACUAGAGUAUGGUAGGGGUUGCGGGAAUUCCCAGUGUAGCGG
rnacentral:rRNA from 1 species